CAUUUUGGAGCAGGAUGGCAAGAGGGACGGUGGCCACAUACCUGCAUGGAGUCCUUCUCCUGGCUCUGUGGAAACCCUCGCUGCAAGGAGGGGUAUAUGUACCUGCUGGAGGUGCGACUGGAGGAGUCGGGCCAGGAGCUGGAACCGGAUUUGGACCAGGAGGCAUUGGGACAGGAUUUCAGCCUGGAGGAGGUGGACCAGGAGGCACUGGUACUGCUCUAGGAGGCUUUGGACCAGGAGCUGGUGGAGGGGGCUAUGGGGGUCAAAGGCCAGGUGGUGUAGGCCCAGGAGUCGGACCAGGUGGAGUGGGACCAGGUGGAGUUGGACCGGGUCUGGGACCAGGAGGAGUGGGACCAGGAGGUUUUAGGCCCAGCAGCUUUGGUCCUGGAGGACUGGGACCUGGAGGCAUUGGGACUGGUGUCAAGCCUCCAAAAACAGGAGGCGGCUAUGGUACUGGUGGAACAGGACUAGGACCAGGCGGAGUCGGGACGGGUGGUUUUGGAGCAGGUGGUGUUGGUCCUGGUGGUUACGGAGCUGGGCCUGGAGGAGUUGGUCCAGGAGGUUUUGGAACCGGUACUCAAGGCAUAUUCAUCAUGAUUUUUUUUUUCUUUUUUUGGGGGGGGGGGGAGGGUACAGGUAGCAUAUCAUAAAUUGUAGAUUUUCAGCACAACAGUGUGUCUCAGCAACAAGUGACAGGCAUAUUUGAUAAAUAAUAUAAAACAUAAAUUAAUACAUUAACUUCACAAAGAGAUUACUCGUGAAAAAAAAAUCAAGUAUUAAUAAUGCAAUCUGCUAUUUUACGUAUCGGUAUCGGACAUAAAAAAGUGGUAUCGUGCCAUCUCUACAUAGUACAUGUUAAAGUUCGGGGAUCUGUGUUCAGCCUCUGGUUAAUUCCAGGGAGCAGGAUAAGAACAGCAUCGAUGUACCUUCAUUUCAUAUCUUCUGUCUUCUAGUUUACUGUUGGUGGGGACCCAGCC
ensembl:lncRNA